rnacentral:tRNA from 1 species
GGGCUCGUGGUGGAAUGGUUAACACGUCUGCCUUACACGCAGAAGACUCGCGGUUCGAUCCCGCGCGGGCCCA